CAAACGCGUAAACACGGUUACCGGUCAGAAACAUUGAACAUAUGUGAUACGAGCAGUGCCUUCGUAGACCCAAUUUUAGAUUUCACUUCAAUUCAAUUUUAUUUCGGUCUUUGUUAAUAUUUUUAAAUAAGUAAAUAUAGCUUAUUACAAAUACCCUCUCCACAUAACGUUAAAUAAAACGACAACCCUCUCACUACAGGCCAAUGUAUGGUCAGCAAAAUAGGAGCGAAAAUAAAACAGACUGAAACUUUGAUUACGAUGAUUAUAUGUCAUUAGUUGCUUGUCGUGUCGUGUCGUCUCUCCUAUAGCGAUGGGUCAGUGAUGUCAUGCCUGUAGUAGCUACUGUGACGCACGGGGAAGUAGUUACACACAGUCAACAAUUUCAAAGUACAAAAAAUCUCAAAGACACAGCAGAUAAUCCACCAUGGGCAUGCUUGAACUGUUACUGGCUGUGCUAUUGGCUGGCCUGACAUUCUUCUUCACAAAGCCCAGGUGGCUGAUGGAGUUCUUGAGGGCAUCAUGAAACAUGGAGCUGGAGAAACAGUAGAUGACAGGGUCCAAAGAGCUGUUGAGAUUCAUCUUACUUCACCUUGAUUUAUAUCAGCAGCACGUCAGCUCUUCUACAAUAUCUCAUCUCAUCCCGUUUCAUCUCACCUUGGCUUAUCACACCAAGUGAUGGCCGCACCAGCAGCCACACCUUGAACAGAGGAACGGUGGUAACUCUUUGAUCUGUUUAUUUACUUAAAGAGUCUUUCUUUCUUAGUGUGACACUUAAAAUUCACAUAUAAAAAAUAUAAAUAAUUACGCAGAGGUUUUGGUUUGAUAAAACAUACAGUUUUAUUAGCAACAUUUGACAGUAUAGUUAUCUAUUUGAAGUGAACACAUUUAGUUAGCUAUAUAAGUUUCAUACAUUUAAGUUGUUUUUCAUGAAAUUAAUUAAGCUUUCUUUGACUUACCAGUUCCUGGGGUUUGCUGCUGGAGUUGGAACUCAAAGGGAGUCCCAGCUCCAUUAGGCCUGCUUAAAUAGUGGUGACUGCAACCUCAGUUAACAUGGUGUAGCACUAUACUGACAUGUUUUGUGGUUAUUGUGGUUUGUUUAAAUGGUUAUGUUUUAGUCUACCCCCUUAUGUGUCUGAAUGGCCUGAUCAGCCACUACAUAUGUCUCCCCUGUGUUUCAGUCAGGAAGGUCAGUUUGUGCUGUUAAGUUCACUUCUGUUAGUACUUGACUUUAGUUCUGUUGCAUUGACUUCUUGGCUUUUUUUAAAUAAAAAAU